GACGAACGCUGGCGGCGUGCCUAAUACAUGCAAGUCGAGCGGACCUCUUCGGAGGUCAGCGGCGGACGGGUGAGUAACACGUGGGCAACCUGCCUGUAAGACUGGGAUAACACCGGGAAACCGGUGCUAAUACCGGAUAAUCCUUUUCCUCACAUGAGGGGAAGCUGAAAGACGGUUUCGGCUGUCACUUACAGAUGGGCCCGCGGCGCAUUAGCUAGUUGGUGGGGUAACGGCCCACCAAGGCGACGAUGCGUAGCCGACCUGAGAGGGUGAGCGGCCACCCUGGGACUGGGACACGGCCCAGACUCCUACGGGAGGCAGCAGUAGGGAAUCUUCCGCAAUGGACGAAAGUCUGACGGAGCAACGCCGCGUGAGCGAAGAAGGCCUUCGGGUCGUAAAGCUCUGUUGUCAGGGAAGAACACGUACCGGAGUAACCGCCGGUACCUUGACGGUACCUGACCAGAAAGCCACGGCUAACUACGUGCCAGCCGCCGCCGUAAUAC
rnacentral:rRNA from 1 species